UACUUAGCAAAAAGCAAGGACCU
rnacentral:piRNA from 1 species